AGUCAGUGAAUAAUCUCCAGCAGAAUACAACCAGUGAAUAAUCUCCAGCAGAAUACAGUCAGUGAAUAAUCUCCAGCAGAAUACUAGUGUUGAGCGGCAUAGGCCAUAUUUCACGAAUAUAUGGACGAAUAUUCAUCAUAUAUUCGUGAAUUUCGAAUAUUCGUUAUAUUCGAGUGGGUUUUUAAACAUUGCGAAUUUUCGGCAAUGGCGAAAAUAAUUGCGAAAAAAAAUGAUUGCGAGAAUUACGUCGCUCGCGCGCAUGCGCGCUAUUACAUCACGCGAGAACAGAGAUGCUUGCCAGUGACAUCGCGAUCGCGAAUCAGCGAAGCGAAGAUGGUGGGAAGUAAUUUCAGCGAAAGUGAGGAGAGAGUUCUGAUUUGUCGUUUCCUUGAAAAAGGUUAUGACCAGACACGCUCCCAAAUUGUCAAGAAGGACAUUGUCCGCUCCCUAAUGCGGGAGCUGAGGAAAGAUCACGGCGGCAGACAUGACCGCAUGGCGGUCUUAAAAAAAAAUGGUUGGACCUAAAGAGGCGGCACAUGGACCGGGUCCGACAAAUAUGGGACCAGUAUCAACCAGUUGCCCAACAAUUAAAAAAAAAAAAAGACCAUGAAAAAAUGAGAAAGGACAUGAUGAGGAUGGCGCGGAAAAUAGCGGGAUUGGAGGAGUUGAUUAAUAAGUUAAUAUAGUUUUUUGUUUUUGUUUUGUUGUUCUAUUUAUUUCUUCAUUUUCUUUAA